GCUCGAGUGGCGAACGGGUGAGUAACACGUGAGUAACCUGCCCUUGACUUUGGGAUAACUUCAGGGAACUGGGGCUAAUACCGGAUAGGAGCUCCUGCUGCAUGGUGGGGGUUGGAAAGUUUCGGCGGUUGGGGAUGGACUCGCGGCUUAUCAGCUUGUUGGUGGGGUAGUGGCUUACCAAGGCUUUGACGGGUAGCCGGCCUGAGAGGGUGACCGGCCACAUUGGGACUGAGAUACGGCCCAG
rnacentral:rRNA from 1 species